rnacentral:rRNA from 1 species
CCCUUAGACGUUCCGGGCCGCACGCGCGCUACACUGACCAGUGCAACAAGCAUCCGUCCUUGGCCGACAGGCCCGGGCAAUCUUUGAACGCUGGUCGUGAUGGGGAUAGACUUUUGCAAUUUUUGGUCUUCAACGAGGAAUUCCUAGUAAACGCAAGUCAUCAACUUGCAUUGAUUACGUCCCAGCCCUUUGUACACACCGCCCGUCGCACCUACCGAUUGAAUGGUCCGGUGAAGCCUCCGGAUUGGCGCGCACCUCGGUGCCGCCGAGAAGUUGGCUAAACCUUACCAUUUAGAGGAAGGUGAAGUCGUAACA